UAGGGAAUCUUCCGCAAUGGGCGAAAGCCUGACGGAGCAACGCCGCGUGAGUGAUGAAGGUCUUCGGAUCGUAAAACUCUGUUAUUAGGGAAGAACAAAUGUGUAAGUAACUAUGCACGUCUUGACGGUACCUAAUCAGAAAGCCACGGCUAACUACGUGCCAGCAGCCGCGGUAAUACGUAGGUGGCAAGCGUUAUCCGGAAUUAUUGGGCGUAAAGCGCGCGUAGGCGGUUUUUUAAGUCUGAUGUGAAAGCCCACGGCUCAACCGUGGAGGGUCAUUGGAAGCUGGAAAACUUGGGUGCAGAAGAGGAAAGUGGAAUUCCAUGUGUAGCGGUGAAAUGCGCAGAGAUAUGGAGGAACACCAGUGGCGAAGACGACUUUCUGGUCUGUAACUGACGCUGAUGUGCGAAAGCGUGGGGAUCAAACAGG
rnacentral:rRNA from 1 species